GGCCGGGGUUCCGGGCGGACCCCGCGGGCUCAGGCAGGUGUCGAGGCACCUGGAGUGGCCGCAGCCCGCGGUCUGAAGCUGGCCUUCACAGGUGGGCGGCCUGCUGUCCUGAGGGAGGCCUCCCAGGCUCCUGCUGUGGUCACCCUCCUCCACGUCAGCGUUCUGGGGAGGCCGCUAAGACUGUGGGUCACACAGGUCCUACAUCAGUGGAAGAAUCCAGAAAAGGGAACCGUUUCCUAAGGUCGGCACUCCUCACGCUGCCUGUCGCCUUCCUGGCCCCACCUUGGGAUGGACCCAGCAGACGCUACCGGAGACCCCGCUGCGGGUGACACAGCCGGUGACCCCACCGGCAGCCCUGCUGGGAGCGAGGGCCGUUCUGCGGGUGAGUCCGUGUCCCUGAU
rnacentral:lncRNA from 1 species